CCCCUAGAUGUUCUGGGCCGCACGCGCGCUACACUGAACAGUUCAACAAGUCUUAACCUUGGCCGAUAGGUCUGGGUAAUCUUUGAACGCUGUUCGUGAUUGGGAUAGACCUUUGCAAUUAUGGGUCUUCAACGAGGAAUUCCUAGUAAACGCAAGUCAUCAGCUUGCAUUGAUUACGUCCCUGCCCUUUGUACACACCGCCCGUCGCACCUACCGAUUGAAUGGUCCGGUGAAAACCUCGGAUUCUUGUUUGAUUCUAGCAAUAGAGACUUACGGGAAGAAGUCGUUUAAACCUUACCAUUUAGAGGAAGGUGAAGUCGUAACA
rnacentral:rRNA from 1 species